CACGCCCUAAACGAUGAUGACUAGGUGUCGGCGUAAGCCGGUGCUAUAAGCUAACGCGUUAAGUCAUCCACCUGAGGAGUACGGCCGCAAGGUUAAAACUCAAAUGAAUAGACGGGGACCCACACAAGCAGUGGAUCAUGUGGUUUAAUUCGACAAUAAACGAGGGACCUUACCCAGGCUUGACAUCCCGAGAAGUCCGAUGAAAGUUGGAUGUGCCCGCAAGGGAACUCGGUGACAGGCGC
rnacentral:rRNA from 1 species